CUCACCCGCUGUGGGUGGGGCAGGUUGUGGAAAUCAGCCCCAUGACAACAGUAAGCUCAGCCAGGACUGGGAUUCAGGAUGUUUUAUUUUCAUGCUUUAUGUGGUUUUCAUGUUCUCCCUGAGACAUAAGCAUCACUUACAAUCAGAAAAGAUCCCUGAUGAAAGUGCAUGAAGGAACACAAAGCAGGCGACUGCACGUCUAUGAACACGCUCACGAUUUCCUGUGAAGCAGAGGCACCUCUGGGCCCCACCCAGGCCUGGGACCGCCCUGAGCCUGAGCCCCUCACACAGUGCGGCCCCAGCCCUGCCUCGGAGAAGCCCAGGCCAGGAUGAAGCCUGGGACCGGGGGAGGAGUCGGACCGCGGCCCUGGAGCUCAGGAUGCUGCAGCCUGGGGUGUCGGCGUUAUUCCCACGCAUCUCCACAGCUCCCGCCGCACCCACCCCGCGGACCUGCUGGCGGAGCCGGUGGUAUACUGUGAACUGACUUAUGAAACCACCUCUGCAAGGCAAAACAGGCCAUUGGCCACUGGGCCCCGUGAACCUGUCCCUGGGCGUCCGCAUCUCUUCCAUCUUACAGACCGUGUGUCAGCCACCUGCUGCUGUGUGCCUGUGGUGGGACCCUCACUGCAGGGAAUGCUGCAUUCUUGGUGUUUGCUUACACAACGUGUUCCUAUUUCCUUUCCCAAAUCUGCAAGCACUCCUUGCAGAUAAAACAGCUCAGACUGGGAGAGGCCAAGAGAACACGGAGGUCCUGAAGCCCCCUGUGCUUGAGUCAGGAGCCCAGAGGCUGGUGCCACAGCUCCAAGCAGGCAGCACCAAACCUCAGCACCCACAGCCACAGUGUGGAUGACAUCAGUGGCAGGAGGCGGUUGGUGGGAAGAGGCGAGUGAGCCUGCCCGUGCGUCCCGCAUGGAGACGUCUGGAUUGGAAACUACCGAAAGAUGUUUCAAGGAACUCUCCCUGGGUGACACGCUGGUUUUCAGACGUUUGAUUCAGCUGCUGCAGUUUCCUCCUCCCUGACACGGGAACUGAACUGCAGGCCGCGGCGAGCCAGCCAGGGAAACCGCCUUCUCCCUGGGCUCGGAGCUGCUGCCGGUUCUGGAGGGAGAGACCCCAGCAAGGAGGUGGUGACUCAUGGGCCGC
rnacentral:lncRNA from 1 species